CAGUAGCCACGGUAAUACGUAGGUGGCAAGCGUUGUCCGGAAUUAUUGGGCGUAAAGGGCUCGCAGGCGGUUUCUUAAGUCUGAUGUGAAAGCCCCCGGCUCAACCGGGGAGGGUCAUUGGAAACUGGGAAACUUGAGUGCAGAAGAGGAGAGUGGAAUUCCACGUGUAGCGGUGAAAUGCGUAGAGAUGUGGAAGAACACCAGUGGCGAAGGCGACUCUCUGGUCUGUAACUGACGCUGAGGAGCGAAAGCGUGGGGAGCGAACAGGAUUAGAUACCCCCGUAGUCCCUGUCUCUUAUAC
rnacentral:rRNA from 1 species